rnacentral:rRNA from 1 species
CCUACGGGGGGCUGCAGUGGGGAAUAUUGGACAAUGGGGGCAACCCUGAUCCAGCAAUGCCGCGUGUGUGAAGAAGGCCUUCGGGUUGUAAAGCACUUUUAUCGGGAACGAAACAUUGUCGGCCAAUACCCGGCAAGACUGACGGUACCCGAGGAAUAAGCACCGGCUAACUCCGUGCCAGCAGCCGCGGUAAUACGGAGGGUGCAAGCGUUAAUCGGAAUUACUGGGCGUAAAGCGUGCGCAGGCGGUUUGUUAAGUCUGUCGUGAAAUCCCCG